AGGGAAUCUUCCGCAAUGGACGAAAGUCUGACGGAGCAACGCCGCGUGAGUGAUGAAGGUUUUCGGAUCGUAAAGCUCUGUUGCCAGGGAAGAGCGUCCUGUAGAGUAACUGCUACAGGAGUGACGGUACCUGAGAAGAAAGCCCCGGCUAACUACGUGCCAGCAGCCGCGGUAAUACGUAGGGGGCAAGCGUUGUCCGGAAUUGUUGGGCGUAAAGCGCGCGCAGGCGGCUGUUUAAGUCUGGUGUUUAAUCCUGGGGCUCAACCCCGGGUCGCACUGGAAACUGGAUGGCUUGAGUGCAGAAGAGGAGAGUGGAAUUCCACGUGUAGCGGUGAAAUGCGUAGAGAUGUGGAGGAACACCAGUGGCGAAGGCGACUCUCUGGGCUGUAACUGACGCUGAGGCGCGAAAGCGUGGGGAGCAAAC
rnacentral:rRNA from 1 species